rnacentral:rRNA from 1 species
CACGUAGGGUGCGAGCGUUGUCCGGAAUUAUUGGGCGUAAAGAGCUCGUAGGCGGUGUGUCACGUCGGCCGUGAAAACCUGCAGCUUAACUGUGGGCGUGCGGUCGAUACGGGCAUCACUGGAGUUCGGCAGGGGAGACUGGAAUUCUCGGUGUAGCGGUGAAAUGCGUAGAUAUCGAGAGGAACACCUGCGGCGAAGGCGGGUUGCUGGGCUGAUACUGACGCUGAGGCGCGAAAGCUAGGGGAGCGAACGGG